rnacentral:misc_RNA from 1 species
AAUUCUCAACUGCCUCGGGCUUUUGUGGCCUGUGGGUGAAGUUGGACUUGGAGGCAUGCUGGCGCAUGAAUAGGGCUUUUGUGGCCUUGCUCUGCUUGUCGGCUCCUCUCGAAUGCAUGAGCUUUCCAAUCCUUGGCAAAGUAUCGUUGAUGUGAUAAUUAUCUGCAUCACCCGAGAAAGCCCAAAAGGGGAAAUCUUUGAUCACACCGUGGUGACCCACGUUUGACAA